rnacentral:rRNA from 1 species
GACGAACGCGGCGGCGUGCCUAAUACAUGCAAGUCGAACGAGAGCGACCGGUGCUUGCACUGGUCAAUCUAGUGGCGAACGGGUGAGUAACACGUGGGUAACCUGCCCAUCAGAGGGGGAUAACAUUCGGAAACGGAUGCUAAAACCGCAUAGGUUCUACAGUCGCAUGACUGAAGAAGGAAAAGAGGCUUCGGCUUCUGCUGAUGGAUGGACCCGCGGUGCAUUAGCUAGUUGGUGAGGUAACGGCUCACCAAGGCCGUGAUGCAUAGCCGACCUGAGAGGGUGAUCGGCCACAUUGGGACUGAGACACGGCCCAAACUCCUACGGGAGGCAGCAGUAGGGAAUCUUCCGCAAUGGACGCAAGUCUGACGGAGCAACGCCGCGUGAGUGAAGAAGGAUUUCGGUUCGUAAAACUCUGUUGUUAGAGAAGAACAGCGCAUAGAGUAACUGUUAUGCGUGUGACGGAUCUAACCA